UUAGGUGUCUCGCCAGCGCGCGAGAAUAGCUGCAAGUCAGAAAAGGCGAUCAAUUCUUCUCCUGUCUUCUGCAUGUACUAUAUUGAACCAAAUAUAUAUAUAUAUAUUAACUUUAUAUGUAACUAUAGAGGUGUUUUUACCAGUUUCGAGUUUCCAACGUCUCCGUUGAGCAAGUGUGUGGCAAUUAUUUCGUCCAGUUAGCAAAACACCGCAUGGAUUGGAUUAUACCAUGUCAUGAGCUAAGCAAAGGGGUGUCUUUUAUUAUUAUUAUUUUUUUUAUUUGUUAUUUUUAUGAGCUUGCCAGAAAUGCGUUUUAGCACCGAACAGGUAGAAUACGUUGAUGACAUGUUAAGGGGGAGCCACUAAAGUCAAGCAGACGGGCGAAAGCCUCAACUCGACCAAAACUGUCGUCGAAGAGCUGACCUGCUUGCGUGUGUCAGUUUUGGCGGCGUGUCGUCUUUGCUGCGGGGAAAAAUUGCUCCUUUGACGAGGCCGACCCCCCCCGCCGCCGGGCGCCCGUUCACCCGGG